rnacentral:rRNA from 1 species
UAAAGGAAUUGGCGGGGGAGCACUACAACGGGUGGAGCCUGCGGUUUAAUUGGAUUCAACGCCGGGAAGCUUACCGGGGGAGACAGCUGAAUGAAGGUCGGGCUGAAGAUCUUACCAGACUAGCUGAGAGGUGGUGCAUGGCCGUCGUCAGUUCGUACUGUGAAGCAUCCAGUUAAGUCAGGCAACGAGCGAGACCCGCGCCCCCAGUUGCCAGCAGAUCCCUCCGGGGAUGCUGAGCACACUAGGGGGACUGCCGCCGUUAACCCGGAGGAAGGUGCGGGCCACGGCAGGUCAGUAUGCCCCGAAUCCCCCGGGCCACACGCGGGCUACAAUGGCCGGGACAAUGGGUACCGACCCCGAAAGGGGCAGGUAAUCUCCUAAAUCCGGUCUCAGUUGGGAUCGAGGGCUGCAACUCGCCCUCGUGAACAUGGAAUCCGUAGUAAUCGCGCGUCAAAAUAGCGCGGUGAAUACGUCCCUGCUCCUUGCACACACCGCCA